GAGGGUACAGCUCAGUAGUGGAGCACAUGCUUAGCAUGCACGAGGCCCUGGGUUCAAUCCCCAGUACCUCCA
rfam:Camelus ferus unplaced genomic scaffold scaffold743, whole genome shotgun sequence.